UACGCUUUAUAAUCAAUUGGCGAUGGCCAUUGUCGACUAAUUAUGUUCAACCAUAUCGUCUCUAAAAUAUCAUUGAUGUUUCUAAUAUAUUUCAGCUUCAAAUAAUUAGCUGUCUUUUUUUUUUAAUGAAUAAUGGACUUAAAGGUCCGUUUUAUAUAUUAAGCAAAAAGGGGGUCCGAUCAGCCAAAAUAAAACAUUACAAUAACAAAUAUCAAUAAAAAAGCUCAAAUCCGGUCCAAUUACCUGAUUUGGGACUAUAAAAGGUGCCCUAAUGUUUCCUAAUUGAUCCUCUUGCUCUUUAUCCAUCCGCUUUUUUCACCGCUGAGGAUGUCUAUAUUGGUCCUUUGCAAUCUUCAUCUCCAUUUGAUCUUGUUGUGGGUGAUGAAUUACCUUCAUCAGCUUGUGUGCAUCUUCUUCCUGCUCAGCUUGCAUAAGUAAAAAGUGUUCUUCUUUUGCUUUUGUUUUGUAAUCUCUCCUCUAUUUCAUGAGUUCUUUCGCUUAAAGGUAUGAAAUCUGGUGAAGGUCCAUGAAUUUACCUGAAACUCGAUAAAGUGUGUGAACGUUGUAUAUCAGCUCCGUAGAUCCGUUUGAAGCAGAAGUGGAGAAAAACAAGUUGUUUUCAAUCUCCGUCUUUCAAAACUCCUAGUUGAAUACAAGCAUUGUGUUGCAGAUCUUGUUUCUUUGCUCUCGAUUUUUGUUGGUGAUCCUUUUUAUUGGCUGAUACAGUUAUUUUGCCCUUAUGGCCACAAACUAUUUUGUAAAUGUAAUAACUGUGAGACUCUGUGGUCCUUCUUUUCCUGCCUUUCAUUAUUGAUUAUGUGUGACUGAUAUUUUUCUUGUUC